CCGGACGUCUAUCUAAACGUCAUAACGACUCUCGGCAACGGAUAUCUCGGCUCUCGCAUCGAUGAAGAACGUAGCGAAAUGCGAUACUUGGUGUGAAUUGCAGAAUCCCGUGAACCAUCGAGUCUUUGAACGCAAGUUGCGCCCGAAGCCAUCAGGCCGAGGGCACGUCUGCCUGGGCGUCACGCAUCGCGUCGCCCCCCUCUCCCCGCGCGGGAG
rnacentral:rRNA from 1 species